UGCGAUACUUGGUGUGAAUUGCAGAAUCCCGCGAACCAUCGAGUUUUUGAACGCAAGUUGCGCCCGAGGCCACCCGGCCGAGGGCACGCCUGCCUGGGCGUCACGCCUCGCGUCGCUCCGCCUACCUCGCCCUGAGUGAGCACCCCGUGCUCUUACGGCGGCGGGCGGCGGAUGCGGA
rnacentral:rRNA from 1 species